rnacentral:lncRNA from 1 species
ACUAGCGGGAGGGGGCCGGGCUAGCGGGCUACUGGGCUGCGGAGACCAGAGCCCGGCUCCACUGAAGAAACCCGCCGGCUGCUGGGGCAGGGCGGCGAAAGGUCAGUCGGCCGAGAGGAGUCCGUGGAGCCACCGUUUCAUAGCCUCAGGGAAAGGAUCGGGCGUGCUCACGAGCCCUCUAACCCAUGGCUUAAACACCCGCUUCCUAAGCCUGGUUCCUGAAUAUAUCACAUGUGGUGAUAAACAUGAAGAUGUAUGAAAAAUUGUGUUCGUUGAGAGAAAAUGGAAGGCUUUUCAUUCUACUUCCACAUUUUCAUUCCAGCAGCUUUUCUGUUUUGGAAGAUGAGUACUGAAUCUUGCAAUGAAAUUUUUUUAACUUAAACAAGGUUCUUAUGCCUUUGUUUGAAAAACAUGGUUCCCUGUGAAAUUUUACAUGUAGAAGAAAGCUUCACACUACGAGAGCUCUCAGGAUAUAAUUAUUUCAGACAGAUACUGGGAACAUAAGAUGGCUUAUCAAUCUAAGAUGGCCUUCCUGUCCUUCGGAUUGAACUGAAACCAUCCCUGAUUCCAGGGAUAGGUAGAUGAUCCAGGUUUGGACAAUCAAAAUAUUGAACCACCCUGGACCUACAAGUGUUUCUGGGAUGGGAACAUGCAAACGUUGGUCCAAAUUGUUGUUCUAGGCAGCCCAGUACAUUUCUCCAAUGCCUGAUGGAAUGAUAGGGUAUGCAUAAAUGUUCAUGUGGGCUCUGGAGUAUACCAGGAACUGAAGUAAGGUACAUGGACGUCUUGAAUAUUGUAACUGAGAUGGGCAAGCCUACACCUUUGCAAAUAAAGGAGGAUUGGGAAAGAUUAAGCCUCUCAAGCACUGUGAAAAAUCACUUUCUCUUGUUGUAUUCUUGGAGCCCCUGCUAAUUCAUUAUUGAAAAAUACCUGCUGCCUGCAUUUGGCCUUAUGUUGUCAUUUACUUGGUACUUCCUAAGCGUGGCUACUCCAAUGAAGCUUUAGUAUAUGUACUGAAAGAAGAUCCUCUCAUACUGCCACAGCCAAGAGAUAAGGUUGUAAAUCUUUAUUGGGAGAAGCCGUCAAGGACAGUUCUGUGAAAUGAAAGGAUCUCUGGAUCACCACAAAGUCUGGCUCAGUGACUAUGGCUUUGCAAACACUAAACAUUCCUGUCUCAAGUCCUGUAGAUGGCUUGAAAUAGUAUACAUAAGCAUGCCUUAUAAACAUCUUCAGUCUUUAUCAACUCUUUGGAGAUUCAGCCAUUCUUUUUUGUACUUUAGGGAAUUAAAUCAUUUUAUAAUGUAUAAAUCUGAGCAUGGCCGAUGGCAGAAGAAAUUUUGUCAUACGUUUUUAAAGAAAUAAAAAUGUAUUAUGUUUUAAAAUUCCUUUAACUGUUUUUCUUACAAAAUUCCCAACAACUUAGUUACCAAGUAAACUAUCUCAGAUAUGAUUUUUCAGUCCUUGCUAAUCUAUUUAUAAAAUCUUUUGCUAUUUU